UAUACAUCCAUGCCAUCUUUCUUGUCCCACAGAAUCUCCUCAAGCCACAGGCGAACCUUUGGCAGUUGGAAUGUCAGGAAUCAUCGAACAGAUAUGUAUGUGACAACAAAAAGGCGAUCAGAGAAGGAAAGGAAUAAUUCUUUAUAGAGAAAAAUAAAGUACAGAAAUAAGCCUAACUGCACAAGAAAGUCAAAUAAAAAAAAGGGAUGUCAAUAUCUGAAUUAUCUGAUCAGAUUAUGUUCGAUCAAACCUCCUACAGGUGUCCCUGAAACCCUUAUUUCCUGUACUGUCAGCUUUCACAAAUGCAGCCAAGCAAGCACAAACCAGGAUAACUCUAAAUUCAAAAUUCAAUUUCUCUGCCAUGUUCAUCGUAUUUUCUAAAUUUUAAUCUGUCAUACUACAAUAUUUUGCAACAAUGAUAGUGAAAAACCGAAGCUAUUGGCCUUCAGAAACAGUUACAGAUACAUCCCAAAAAACCAAGCAUGCACCCAUGCAAAAUGGGGACUUGAAAAGAAAAGGGAACACAAAGACUUGAGUCAAUGAAAGAGCAACAUCAAAACUCAAAAGCUAUGUAGAUAUCCUAUCAUUCGUACACUAUAUAAAGGGCCAUAAUUUUACCUAAGAGAAACAACAAAACAGAAUUGCAAUUUCCUUCAUGUUUAUGGAUAUGAUAGCAAUUGCUAGUGCAACUGAACUAGAGUAAAAAUCAGAGCAAGAAAAUGCUAGUCCAGGGGUGUAUGCUUGUGACAAAUGGCAUGGUUUCAGCAAUAUUGGACCUAAGAGUAGCACAUCACAACAAAUUUGUACAGCUUGUUGAUGAUCCACUUCAAAUAAACUACCUUAUCAAGAUCAACCUUCUGCGACUCACAGAUACAUAAAGUUCGCAAGCUGGAAUCAUGAAGAUCACUGGUAGAUAAAGACUUGCUUUCCUCUAAUAACACUUCCAAA
rnacentral:lncRNA from 1 species